UAUUUCUAUGAAUACAAUGCUAAUGCACCAGAUCUCAUCAAAACUUCACAGUUAAUAACACUUGGUCUAGAUUAGUAUUGUGAUGGGUGACUUUCCGGGAAGUCCUAGUGUUUUACAUGC
rfam:Picea glauca, whole genome shotgun sequence.